GAUGAACGCUGGCGGCGUGCCUAAUACAUGCAAGUAGAACGCUGAAGGAGGAGCUUGCUCUUCUGGAUGAGUUGCGAACGGGUGAGUAACGCGUAGGUAACCUGCCUGGUAGCGGGGGAUAACUAUUGGAAACGAUAGCUAAUACCGCAUGACAACAGUUAUUGCAUGAUAACUGUUUAAAAGGGGCAACUGCUCCACUACCAGAUGGACCUGCGUUGUAUUAGCUAGUUGGUGAGGUAACGGCUCACCAAGGCGACGAUACAUAGCCGACCUGAGAGGGUGAUCGGCCACACUGGGACUGGGACACGGCCCAGACUCCUACGGGAGGCAGCAGUAGGGAAUCUUCGGCAAUGGACGGAAGUCUGACCGAGCAACGCCGCGUGAGUGAAGAAGGUUGUCGGAUCGUAAAGCUCUGUUGUAAGAGAAGAACGAGUGUGAGAGUGGAAAGUUCACACUGUGACGGUAUCUGACCAGAAAGGGACGGCUAACUACGUG
rnacentral:rRNA from 1 species